rnacentral:rRNA from 1 species
UCCCGCAACGAGCGCACCCUUGCCUUAGUUGCUACAUUCAGUUGAGCACUCUAAUGGGACUGCCGGUGACAAACCGGAGGAAGGUGGGGAUGACGUCAAGUCCUCAUGGCCCUUAUAGGUGGGGCUACACACGUCAUACAAUGGCUGGUACAAAGGGUUGCCAACCCGCGAGGGGGAGCUAAUCCCAUAAAGCCAGUCGUAGUCCGGAUCGCAGUCUGCAACUCGACUGCGUGAAGUCGGAAUCGCUAGUAAUCGUGGAUCAGAAUGUCGCGGUGAAUACUUUCCCGGGUCUUGUACACACCGCCCGUG